GCAAUUUUUUCAACUCUCUUAUUAACUCUUUCUUCUUCCUCUUCCUCCUCCUAUAAAUGUCUCAUACUGCUAGGGAACUUUCAUUCCUGAGCACACUACUAGUAAACAAACGGUAGGCAAGAAUAUAAAUUAUAAUGCCAAUAUGUUGCCUUUAUCUGCAUUUGCACCUGCACCUUAAGUUUCUUUGUUUCUUCUUCUUCUUUUUUCUUUUUUAAGAAGUCUACUUCUUCUUCUAAAUUAUGGGUUUUCAAUAUAUAGAGGAUUGAAACAAGCAAACAUAGGUGCAGGUGUGAGUGCAGGUGAAUGCCAUUUUGGUUACUUUUCAUGAGAUUUGCCUGCUGUACGUGUUGUGCCUGCCUUUUUCCUUGCCAAUGAGUCCUCAUCUUGAAGCUGCUUGUUGGUGUCUGUAGAUCGAUUUCUGGAUCUCUUUUGAAGCAUCAAUUCAUGCAGAUCUCCACCACAGAGCUUGCAUGCUAGGGUUUCUUAAGAGAAAAGAAGGCACUGAGAAAAAAGAAAGGAAGAAGAAGGAGAAAAAGAAGAAGAAUGAAUGAACUGAAUAAUCCCAAAUGAGAAGAAGAGGUUGCCAUGUAUUUUGUACCAAAUAGGCUUCAAAGGCUUAAAGAUUGGCCCUCUUCCUGCAGUCAGUCAUGAGAUUCAUCCAUAACUAUUUCCAAGUAAAUAGGCCCCAUAUGCUAAAAGAUGGGUCUCAAGCUCCAUAAAUAUUGUUUUUCCAUUUUUCUUUUUAAGGUUUUAAUUAUUUUGUUUUUAACUGGCUUGGACUUUUGUAUUUUAUAAUCUAAAUCUAAGUCUUGUUCUAGUUUCAGCAUUAAUAAUUGUCCUGACUAAAAAUUACCUAUAAUUAUAUAAAAGAAUCUUUAUAGCCCCUUAUAAUAUUUAUAGUUUUAUUUUGGCCCCUAUAGUUUUAGUUAAAUUUCUAUCAAAUUCUCUUAAUUAUUCAGUUUAAACUCUUUAUAACUCACAUAUAUUUAUCAGUAUUUCUUUGGCUCCAUUUAUUGAAAAGAAAAAAUAAAAUAAAAUUGGCCCUCGUUCAUGAAGUUCUAGUUCAGCCCAUGAUAUUAUCCCUGGUGGUAGGUGCAUAUCAAGAAUUGAGUUAAGAUAUUAAGUUAAAAAUAAAUAAAUAAAGAGAUUUUAAAGAACACAUAUAAUUUUGAUUGAAAAUCACAUAUAAAAAUCAGGUCAUUGAGGGCAGAUUCUAUUGCAAGAAUUAAUGAUGAU